GAGAGCUUGCUCUCUGGAUUAGUGGCGAACGGGUGAGUAACACGUGAGCAACCUGCCCCUGACUCUGGGAUAAGCGCUGGAAACGGCGUCUAAUACUGGAUAUGAGCUCCUGCCGCAUGGUGGGGGUUGGAAAGAUUUUUUGGUUGGGGAUGGGCUCGCGGCCUAUCAGCUUGUUGGUGAGGUAAUGGCUCACCAAGGCGUCGACGGGUAGCCGGCCUGAGAGGGUGACCGGCCACACUGGGACUGAGACACGGCCCAGACUCCUACGGGAGGCAGCAGUGGGGAAUAUUGCACAAUGGGCGGAAGCCUGAUGCAGCAACGCCGCGUGAGGGAUGACGGCCUUCGGGUUGUAAACCUCUUUUAGCAGGGAAGAAGCGAGAGUGACGGUACCUGCAGAAAAAGCACCGGCUAACUACGUGCCAGCAGCCGCGGUAAUACGUAGGGUGCAAGCGUUAUCCGGAAUUAUUGGGCGUAAAGAGCUCGUAGGCGGUUUGUCGCGUCUGCUGUGAAAUCCCGAGGCUCAACCUCGGGUCUGCAGUGGGUACGGGCAGACUAGAGUGCGGUAGGGGAGAUUGGAAUUCCUGGUGUAGCGGUGGAAUGCGCAGAUAUCAGGAGGAACACCGAUGGCGAAGGCAGAUCUCUGGGCCGUAACUGACGCUGAGGAGCGAAAGGGUGGGGAGCAAACAGGCUUAGAUACCCUGGUAGUCCACCCCGUAAACGUUGGGAACUAGUUGUGG
rnacentral:rRNA from 1 species